UCNCGUCAUGCUGGAAAGGCCUUAAAGA
rnacentral:piRNA from 1 species